rnacentral:ribozyme from 15 species
GCAUGCUGAAAAAUCAGAAAAUUAAGCUCCAACAGUGGAUCCACUGAACAGAACAACGAAGACUAUUAGCGCUCGAUGCGCACCCUUCCGGUUGGAAUGGGAUGCAAGUAAAACUGUGUUGAAUUGAGCACAAUGGCCA